rnacentral:lncRNA from 13 species
UUAUUUUGACCCCCACGCCAUGAAAGCAGAAACAUCACGUGCUGACACUAUGUUUUUUCACCGAUAUGUAAAAACAACCAUUAUUACAAUGUAAUUUCUUGCUUGUCUCCAGCAGAUAUAUUUGACCUUUGACCCUCCACUUGAGUCUGGUUCCUUAAUGAGGUGGGAGAGUUUCUGACAGCUGUUCUCAGUCUUGUUUUAUUCUAGAAUCCAAGAGUUCCGGAAUGACUGAGGCAGAAGCCCUUAGUGGCCUCAUCAGUUUGGAUGUUCCAAAGGCAACAGCCCUUAGUGACCUCAUCAGUUGGGAUGUUCCAAAGGCAGCAGCCCUUAGUGACAUCAUCAGUGUGGAUGUUCCAAAGGCAGCAGCCCUUAGUGACCUCAUCAGUUGGGAUGUUCCAAAGGCAGCAGCCCUUAGUGACAUCUUCAGUGUGGAUGUUCCAAAGGCAGCAGCCCUUAGUGACCUCAUCAGUUGGCAGCGGCCCUUAGUGGCCUCAUCAGUUGGACCUCAUCAGUUGGGAUGUUCCAUAGGCUGCAGCCAUUAGUGACCUCAUCAGUUGGCAGCGGCCCUUACUGGCCUCAUCAGUUGGACCUUAUCAGUUGGGAUGUUCCAUAGGCAUACUGUGUGUCCAUUCACUUCAAAUCCCUCUGUCUGGACCUGCAGCUCUCUGGCCUCUUUUCACCAGUGUGAGGAACUCCAGUAGUUGGUUACUAGUGUUCAUGGUUGCUACCGGUUGUUGAGGAUGUUUGCUACGUGUGUGUGAUUGGUUUAACUGGGGCAGCUGACUGUAUGUAACUGAUGUAACUAGUUUAAACUAUGUGUAACUAUUUGGGACCAGUAACUAAGAGGUUGACAGAUGUGUGUGAUUGGUACUGGGUCUUACUGGCAUCAGUGUAACUGGGCCGUAACUGGUUAUGUAACUGUUUAUAUCUGGUUCUAAACGGGUUCUGACUGGUUCUAACUGGUAGUUAGUGGUUGAACAGGACGCUGCGCGGCACCCAGCCCUCUGCAGGCGGAGACUCCGUGUUGGCCGGUCGGUAGACCAGACACUGGCCAUGUUGGUUGGAUGCCAGAAUCUGGACCCGUUCCCCGCGAAGUACCGUGAUCUCAUCCUCACGCACCGCACUGAAGUCCUGGAUCACCAGCACCAGCUUCCACACACACACACACACACACACACACACACACACACACACACACACACACACACACACACACACACACACACACACACACACANNNNNNNNNNUUAUUUUGACCCCCACGCCAUGAAAGCAGAAACAUCACGUGCUGACACUAUGUUUUUUCACCGAUAUGUAAAAACAACCAUUAUUACAAUGUAAUUUCUUGCUUGUCUCCAGCAGAUAUAUUUGACCUUUGACCCUCCACUUGAGUCUGGUUCCUUAAUGAGGUGGGAGAGUUUCUGACAGCUGUUCUCAGUCUUGUUUUAUUCUAGAAUCCAAGAGUUCCGGAAUGACUGAGGCAGAAGCCCUUAGUGGCCUCAUCAGUUUGGAUGUUCCAAAGG